CUUUCUAAUGAUGUGUGUGAGUUGGGGUAGUGCACUGAUCUUCGCAUCAGGGGAGAGUAGGUUCGAGUCCAACUGCAGUCAGCGUGUCAUUGUGUCCCUGGGCGAGACACUUCACCCCAAAUGUCUCCUGUGGGGACUGCCCACAGGACCGAACGU